rnacentral:rRNA from 1 species
GACGAACGCUGGCGGCGUGCUUAACACAUGCAAGUCGAACGGAAAGGCCCUGCUUUUGUGGGGUGCUCGAGUGGCGAACGGGUGAGUAACACGUGAGUAACCUGCCCUUGACUUUGGGAUAACUUCAGGAAACUGGGGCUAAUACCGGAUAGGAGCUCCUGCUGCAUGGUGGGGGUUGGAAAGUUUCGGCGGUUGGGGAUGGGCUGGCGGCUUAUCAGCUUGUUGGUGGGGUAGUGGCUUACCAAGGGUUUGACGGGUAGCCGGCCUGGGUGGGUGACCGGCCACAUUGGGACUGAGAUACGGCCCAGACUCCUACGGGAGGCAGCAGUGGGGAAUAUUGCACAAUGGGCGGAAGCCUGAUGAAGCAACGCCGGGUGCGGGAUGACGGCCUUCGGGUUGUAAACCGCUUUCGCCUGUGACGAAGCGUGAGUGACGGUAAUGGGUAAAGAAGCACCGGCUAACUACGUG